rnacentral:misc_RNA from 1 species
GUGAGUCAUCGAAUCUUUGAACGCACAUUGCGCUCCCUGGUAUUCCGGGGAGCAUGCCCGUUUCAGAAUCAUUGAGCAUCUCACAAGCCUUGUGUUUUCGAACAUGGGCAAGUGGAUCUGGAUGCUUUGCGUUUUUGCAAGCAUCUGAAAAUGAUUGUAUGUGCACCAAUUGGUAUUGCCAGUUGGGUUCCAACGUGCAACAGAUUUAUCUAUUUCGCGGAGGCAACCUUGAUUGACUGCCAGCCGGAGCGCAUGCUCACAAGCGAACACGGUGGUUGCAUCAUAUUGAUGUCGGCUUCC